UCGAGCGAGAAAGUGACUUCGGUCGCGAGUAAAGCGGCGAACGGGUGAGUACAACGUGGAUAAUCUACCCUAAGGUCUGGGACAACCCCGAGAAAUCGGGGCUAAUACCGGAUAAGACCACAGUAUCCGAGGAUACAGCGGUAAAAGAUUUAUCGCCUUUGGAUGAGUCCACGCCCCAUCAGGUAGUUGGUAAGGUAAAGGCUUACCAAGCCUAAGACGGGUAGCCGGCCUUAGCGGGUGAACGGCCACAUGGGGACUGAGACACGGCCCUGACUCCUACGGGAGGCAGCAGUGGGGAAUAUUGGGCAAUGGGCGAAAGCCUGACCCAGCGAUGCCGCGUGAGGGAUGAAGGCCUUCGGGUUGUAAACCUCUGUCAGGAGGGACGAUGGGACUUUGUCUUGACGGUACCUCCAGAGGAAGCCCCGGCUAACUCCGUGCCAGCAGCCGCGGUAAUACGGAGGGGGCAAGCGUUGCUCGGAAUUACUGGGCGUAAAGGGUCCGCAGGCUGUCAGGCAAGUUGGUUGUGAAAGCUCAAGGCUUAACCUUGGAAUUGCAUCCAAACCUGCCUGACUAGAGUCCAAGAGAGGUUGGCGGAAUUCCCGGUGUAGCGGUGAAAUGCAUAGAUAUCGGGAGGAACACCAGAGGCGAAGGCGGCCAACUGGCUUGGUACUGACGCUCAGGGACGAAAGCGUGGGUAGCAAACCGGAUUAGAUACCCGGGUAGUCCACGCCCCUAAACGAUGGAUGCUAGGUAGGGGGAAUUUUAAUUCUCCCUGCCGUAGUUUAACGCAUUAAGCAUCCCGCCUGGGGA
rnacentral:rRNA from 1 species